UACGUAGGGGGCAAGCGUUGUCCGGAUUUAUUGGGCGUAAAGAGCGUGUAGGCGGCCAGGUAGGUCUGCUGUGAAAACUCGAGGCUUAACCUCGAGCUGUCGGCGGAAACCAUCUGGCUAGAGUCCGGAAGAGGAGAAUGGAGUUCCCGGUGUAGCGGUGAAAUGCGCAGAUAUCGGGAGGAACACCAGUGGCGAAGGCGGUUGCCUGGGGCUUUGCUGACGCUGAUGCGCGAAAGCGUGGGGAGCGAUCCGG
rnacentral:rRNA from 1 species